rnacentral:rRNA from 1 species
UGCAAGUCGGACGAGGCACUUUGUGCUUAGUGGCGAACGGGUGAGUAACACGUAUCUAACAUACCUUUUAGUGGGGGAUAACUGGUUGAAAAACUAGCUAAUACCGCAUAGGACAUUAUUAUCGCAUGAGAAAAUGUUUAAAGUUGCGUUUGCAACGCUUUAAGAUUGAGGUGCGGCAUAUCAGAUAGUUGGUGGGGUAAUGGCCUACCAAGUCUAUGACGUGUAGCUGUGCUGAGAGGCAAAACAGCCACAAUGGAACUGAGACACGGUCCAUACUUCUACGGGAGGCAGCAGUAGGGAAUUUUUCACAAUGGGCGCAAGCCUGAUGGAGCAAUCCCACGUGAACGAUGAAGGUUUUUCAAAUUGUAAAGUUCUUUUAUUGGGGACGAAUUGUAAAAAGAGGAAAUGCUUUUUAUUUGACUGUACCCUUUGAAUAAGUAUCGGCUAACUAUGUGCCAGCAGCCGCGGUAAUACAUAGGAUGCAAGCGUUAUCCGGAUUUACUGGGCGUAAAGCGAGCGCAGGCGGAUUUACAAGUCUGGUGUUAAAUACAGCUGCCUAACAGUUGUAUGCAUUGGAAACUGUAAGUCUAGAGUGCAGUAGAGAGUUUUGGAACUCCCAUGUGGAGCGGUGGAAUGCGUAGAUAUAUGGAAGAACACCAGAGGCGAAGGCGAAAACUUAGGCUGUUACUGACGCUUAGGCUCGAAAGUGUGGGGAGCAAAUAGGAUUAGAUACCCUAGUAGUCCACACCGUAAACGAUGGUAAUUAAAUCUUGGUACGGGAUGUAUCAGGAUUGCAGUU